rnacentral:lncRNA from 1 species
CAUCAGCUAACUAGUCAGAGGCCAGCUCAUCCUAAUAGACUAACAAACUAACAGCCUUCUUAACUACUUUAAUCUUCUCCGAAUAAAUAUACAUUUAUACUUUAUCCCCUUAAUGAGUUAUAUAUACUCAAUUUUGCUUUAGGCUAUUAUAUUAGUACAUAUUGGUUAUAUAUAGUUCACGUCGGUGACAAUACCAAAACUACAAUGGUUUGCACUAAAAUAUACAAGCAUUGUGUGUAAACUUGCCAAACCACACUAACC